rnacentral:rRNA from 1 species
AACGAACGCUGGCGGCAGGCCUAACACAUGCAAGUCGAGCGAGGACUUCGGUUCUAGCGGCGGACGGGUGAGUAACGCGUGGGAAUGUGCCCUUCUCUACGGAAUAGCCCUGGGAAACUGGGAGUAAUACCGUAUACGCCCUAUUGGGGAAAGAUUUAUCGGAGAAGGAUCAGCCCGCGUUGGAUUAGGUAGUUGGUGGGGUAAUGGCCUACCAAGCCGACGAUCCAUAGCUGGUGUGAGAGGAUGAUCAGCCACACUGGGACUGAGACACGGCCCAGACCCCUACGGGAGGCAGCAGUGGGGAAUCUUAGACAAUGGGGGCAACCCUGAUCUAGCCAUGCCGCGUGAGUGAUGAAGGCCUUAGGGUUGUAAAGCUCUUUCAGCUGGGAAGAUAAUGACGGUACCAGCAGAAGAAGCCCCGGCUAACUCCGUG